GACGUAGGGCGCGAGCGUUGUCCGGAUUUAUUGGGCGUAAAGAGCUCGUAGGCGGUUUGUCACGUCGGGUGUGAAAGCCCACAGCUUAACUGUGGGUCUGCAUUCGAUACGGGCAGACUAGAGGCAGGUAGGGGAGAACGGAAUUCCCGGUGUAGCGGUGAAAUGCGCAGAUAUCGGGAGGAACACCGGUGGCGAAGGCGGUUCUCUGGGCCUGUACUGACGCUGAGGAGCGAAAGCGUGGGGAGCGAGCAGG
rnacentral:rRNA from 1 species